UUGAUAUUGACGUGACCCUUCUCUUUGUGAAGGCACAUGGCACUUUGCACUGUGUCAUGAAUCCUUUUGGUUUGGUGGGGUGGGUACCCCCUACCUCUAUUUAUGUGAUAAAAGCUAGGAUUAUACUGAAGGUCCCUUUACCUCAGUAUAAAAUUUGUUUUUGUUUUUUUCAAUUGCCUAAUCUAGGCUGCUUGGAAAAAGUUACAUUGGUGCCGGGAUUCAGCCCUUGCCUGGACAGAGGUGGCCGCUAGAGUCAUCAGCAUGGACACUGGCACCAGUGACUACAUAGGUCCCAGGAUCGUAGCCAGCCACCUCGGGUGCCUCCGGAGACCACUUGAGAAGUGCAGAGACUGUGGGCCAGCCCCUCAUUCUUGUCUGAGACAGUGAUGCCCUCCCCACUCAGUAAUUAUGCACAGCUAGCAGAGGUGGGAGCUGGGUUCUCCCACACCCUGCAGCAAAUCGGAAAUCCCAGGGUGAGGACAGGAGGAUAGAAUUGUUGUGCCAGCUCAGCACCCACUCCUCUUGUGUGCCCAGGCAGGCUGCUGAGAUCCCCCAGCAUUCUGGGCUGGGCAAGAACUCAGAUUUCCACCUGAGGUUGGAGAAGCUUCAGAGUUCAGCCCCUGACCAGCAGAGUCCUGGGAGAGAGGGCAGUGCUAGCAGAUAAAAUCUCAGCCAAUGGGGCUGUGCAGGUGGCCCCAAGGCCUCCAGCUCCACAGAUAAGAAUCAGAAGCACAGCCAUCUCAAUUAGAAAGCAAUUUGAGUUAUCACGCUAAUUAAAGGGGUGUGCAGGCACAAGACCUGACUAGAUCUAGAUCCCUAACGUUAACAAAAAUCAGAUGGUUGAGAAUAAGAAUUUCACAUAAAUAGAAAUGUGAAAGUACGAUGUGCAACUGAGAAGUUGCCAUGAUUUUUUCUUUUCAGGCUGUUGCUCUGAAAUGAAUGGCUUCAUUUAAUCACAAAAGAAGGAAUACCAGCAAGACCACCCAGGCCCCAGCUCCGGUUUUUCCUGAAGAAUUUGGCCGCAUCUCCCUUUUUGAAGGCAGAGUUUCAUCUUGAAAGUGUGGUAGAGACAUAAUCAAAGAUUCAGACAAAGAUAUAACUACAGAAUGCACAUGACGGUUUUGUUAAUACACCAAAAGGAAAAAAAUUAAAUAACGGACUCUCCCAAUAAAUUGUGACCAUCUAUAGUUUGGAAUAACAUGAAGAUUGUUAAAAACUAUGUUUACAAGAAUGGCAAUAACAGAGAAACACUUGCUAUAUAAUUUUCACAAUAACAAGACUUAGCUAGUUUAGGUUUUGAAAAUGAACACACUGACAGCCAUUGUGAGAAGAUAGCCUGGCCUUUUGGAGGACAAAUGCUGUGGGGUGGCGUAACCUUGAGGCUCAAGUCCUGGCACUGGCAUUUAGUGUGAGUCAUGCUGUAUUGCUUCACCUCCUGGGCUUCAGUCUCUCCAUCUGUGAAUGUAGAAUGACAAUACCUGCUGUGCUGUAAGGUCACUGUGAAGAUUAAAUGAGAUAAUGCUUUGUAACCUGUUGGCCUCUGUGCAGUUUAAAAUGAUGUUUUUCAUUACUUGGCUAAGUGCUGUACACCCACUGCUCUGUAGGCAAAAUUCAAACAAAAAGCUUUGUAAUGCUCCCACCCAUUGAAAACAUUACUAUGUUAGCCUCUAUAUACAUAAAUUAUUAUAACAAUACCUGGAAGGUAGGAAACACACUUUGAAUUAUAUUGUUUCUAAGAGUGAGGAUAAGGAUUACUUUCAUUCAUUUAUACUUUUUGGGCACCAAUAAUAUGUAUUUGUAAGAUGAGAUGGCCACUUUAUAGAUUGCAUCUUGUAUAUUAAGAAACAAUUAAAUCUAUUUUAAAAGUACAGCUAAAAACCUCCAUUUCCCGAAAUAGCGUGGAUUAGAUUACCUAAAAUCUUUCCUACUACAAAACAUCUAGAAAUGUUAAAAACCUGUAAUAUUCUUUUAAAUUCAUUAUUUGAAUUCCAAGAAAGUAAGAAAUAUCCCUAGGGAAAAAAAUGAAGAUGGAUCUGAACACCAAAAUGUAAGCACAAGCCAAUGUUGCAACAGCCUGGGUGGGGAAAGGGGAGUGAGAAAGUAUGAAGUUGCCAAUCUUAUUAGGCAAGAGGAUCUGCCUCUCUCAAUCUCUAUCUCUCUUUUUAAAAAAUUAAAUUAAAAAAUUUCAAGCACUCACAUAGAAUACUAUAUGACACCUCCAAAUACCUGUCACCUAGAUUCAUUACCAAAAUCUUGCAACAUUUUAUCUUUAUUGUUUGUAUUUUUAUCUUUGCUGAAGUUUUUACAUUGAAUCCUAGACAUCAUGCCAUUUCACUUCACAUAUUCUUAUAUGCAUAUCUAUUUAAACAGCACAGGAAAAGAGGUAUGAGUAUAAAAUCAAAGAAUUCAAACAGAGGCCUUAUAAUGUUAAACUUGAAUUGGAAAUAUUAGCAUGAACUCUCUCUUAAGAGAGAGUUUUAUCUCUUAAGAGAAAAGGCCUGGCAAAAAUGAAAACUCAGGAGCAAGAGGUCUUUGAUGACUUCCUUUUUUCUGACACUGAAAGAUGCCCCAGGAUCUUCUUGGACAUUUCUUGUCCCAAAUCUGUAAUUAUUCAUUUUUCCAAGGAAGCCUGGUCUUCUUAGUAAGAAAUGACACUUAAUGACCAAUCCAGGACUGACACAGAUCCUAGAAUAAGCAAACAAGGACCUUGAAGCAAUUACCAUAACUGUAUUCAAUAUGUUCAAAAAGUUAAGAAAGACAUGGAACAUAAAUUUUUAAAAUUAGACUUCUAGAGAUGAAAACUACAAUGUGUGAGAUGAAAAACACACUGAAUGGGAUGAGGGGAUUAACAGUAGAUUUGACAUUUUUUAAAAAGAUUAAUGAACUGGAGGACAUAAGCAAUAAAAAACAUUCAAAAUAAAAAAUAUAGAAAAAAUAAGUUUAAAACAUGAAAAAAGCAUCAGUGAGCUGUGGCACAACUUCAAGUUUUUAAUAUAAUAGGGGAUCCUAAAGAAGGGGGGAAAUAGAAAAAUAUCUGAUGAAUAAUGGUCAAAAUAUUCCCCCCGAUUUGAUGAAAACUGUAAAACUACAAUCCAGAAAGUUCAAUGAAUCUCAAGCACAAAAAUUAUGAAGAAAACUACACCAAGAUACAUCAUAAUAAAAAUACUCAAAGCCAGUGAUAAGAGAAAAUUUUCAAAGCAGUACAUUUAUCUACAGAGGAACACAUGUAAGGGUGAUAGCAGACUUCUCAUAGGAAACAAUGCAAGUGAAAAGACAAUGGUGCAACACCUAAAAAAAGCACUGAGCACUAAGUGAAAGAAAAACUCUGUAAACCUAGUAUUGUAUACCUAGUAAAAUAUCUUUCAAAAAUAAGGUAAAAAUAAAAACUACUUUCAAACAUAUGAAAGCUGAAAGAAUUAAUCACCAGCAGACAUACACAAUUAAAC
rnacentral:lncRNA from 1 species